rnacentral:rRNA from 1 species
GAUGAACGCUAGCUACAGGCUUAACACAUGCAAGUCGAGGGGCAGCAUUAUCUUAGCUUGCUAAGAUAGAUGGCGACCGGCGCACGGGUGAGUAACACGCAUCCAACCUUCCGGUUACUCGGGGAUAGGCUUUCGAAAGAAAGAUUAAUACCCGAUGUUGCGUAUCUCUCUCCUGAAAGAUACGCCAAAGGAUUCCGGUAACCGAUGGGGAUGCGUUCCAUUAAGCAGUUGGCGGGGUAACGGCCCACCAAACCUUCGAUGGAUAGGGGUUCCGAGAGGAAGGUCCCCCACAUAGGAACUGAGACACGGUCCUA